CCUACGGGAGGCUGCAGUGAGGAAUAUUGGUCAAUGGGCGCAAGCCUGACCCAGCAACGCCGCGUGAAGGAAGAAGGCUUUCGGGUUGUAAACUUCUUUUAAGAUGGGAGCGCAGAAGACGGUACCUCUUGAAUAAGCCACGGCUAACUACGUGCCAGCAGCCGCGGUAAUACGUAGGUGGCAAGCGUUGUACGGAUUUACUGGGUGUAAAGGGCGUGCAGCCGGGAAGACAAGUCAGAUGUGAAAUCCCGCGGCUCAACCGCGGAACUGCAUUUGAAACUGUGUUUCUUGAGUACCGGAGAGGUCAUCGGAAUUCCUUGUGUAGCAGUGAAAUGCGUAGAUAUAAGGAAGAACACUAGUGGCGAAGGCGGAUGACUGGACGGCAACUGACGGUGAGGCGCGAAGGCGAGGGGAGCAAACAGGAUUAGAUACCCUGGUAGUC
rnacentral:rRNA from 1 species